AUCGCUUCUCGGCCUUUUGGCUAAGAUCAAGUGUAUUAUCUGUUCUUAUCAGUUUAAUGUCUGAUACGUCUCCUAUCCGCGUGAUUUUUUUUCCCAAACCAGUUCAGAUAGGAGUUUUACUUAAACAUGAGCUCAGGGGCAGAAAGAAAUUUGAUUGGUUCACAAAAAUGACCAAUGAAAGUCCUCAAC